CAAUAGCGUAUAUUAAAGUUGUUGCAGUUAAAAAGCUCGUAGUUGGAUUUCGGGGCAGCCUGGCUGGUCCGCCGCAAGGCGAGUACUGGUCAGCCGCCCUUCCUCUCGAAAGCCCCGACUGCUCUUUAUUGCAGUGGUCGGGUAGUUCGGGACGUUUACUUUGAAAAAAUUAGAGUGUUCAAGGCAGGCCUACGCCUGAAUACAUUAGCAUGGAAUAAUGGAAGAGGACCUCGGUCCUAUUUUGUUGGUUUCCAGGACCGAAGUAAUGAUUAAGAGGGACAGUUGGGGGCAUUCGUAUUUAGUUGUCAGAGGUGAAAUUCUCGGAUUUAUGAAAGACGAACAACUGCGAAAGCAUUUGCCAAGGAUGUUUUCAUUAA
rnacentral:rRNA from 1 species